rnacentral:rRNA from 1 species
GAUGAACGCUGGCGGCGUGCUUAACACAUGCAAGUCGAACGGAAAGGCCCAAGCUUGCUUGGGUACUCGAGUGGCGAACGGGUGAGUAACACGUGGGUGAUCUGCCCUGCACUUCGGGAUAAGCCUGGGAAACUGGGUCUAAUACCGGAUAGGACGAUGGUUUGGAUGCCAUUGUGGAAAGUUUUUUCGGUGUGGGAUGAGCUCGCGGCCUAUCAGCUUGUUGGUGGGGUAAUGGCCUACCAAGGCGUCGACGGGUAGCCGGCCUGAGAGGGUGUACGGCCACAUUGGGACUGAGAUACGGCCCAGACUCCUACGGGAGGCAGCAGUGGGGAAUAUUGCACAAUGGGCGCAAGCCUGAUGCAGCGACGCCGCGUGGGGGAUGACGGCCUUCGGGUUGUAAACUCCUUUCGCUAGGGACGAAGCGUUUUUGUGACGGUACCUGGAGAAGAAGCACCGGCUAACUACGU